AUGAUAUCUCUCAAUGUAAUGUCUCUCACAAUCCUGAGACUGGCCUUGGUUACUUAUAUGAGCCAGUUUCAGGUUUUUCGGAUUUGAUGGGUAGUGUGAAUGAAUUUGGUCAAUACCAUGCUCUUGGGGAUUCUGUAGCUGCUGCUAAUAUCCAUACCACUGAUCUUGGCAAUUCUCAGAUUGAGAGAAAUACAGUUACCACUGGGACUGAUGUGGGUGGUGGCUUACAAAU
rnacentral:misc_RNA from 1 species